UGAACGAAUAAAGUAUGUUAAACGAGAACUUUCAUUUUUCUUGUUUUCCCUAAUACGAUUUGGACGUUCGUUUUACAGAAUGACAAGAACGAGGACUAUUCCAUUAGUGAAAAAUUUGGUGGGAAGGAAGAAAAUAAUUCACCGAAGUCCUAUCCAGACAUUUUAGACAUAGCUGGAAUGGAUUAUUCUCAGGCAACAAGAAAACCUCCAAUACACAAUUAAGAUAGCAUAACGACAGAAUUUUCCGUCGCUAAAGCUCGAAGCAAGUUUGAAAAUUAUAUAUAAAAUUUUGGGAAAAGGGUUUCCCUUAAUUGAUGAGAAGGGGAAUAGCUGUCGGACAGCACUACAGAAAUGCUGCCAUUUUUUAGGGCUAUGAAGAUUUUGUACAUAAAAUAUUAUUGUCUGUCAUUAAUUAGUAGAUUAUUAGUUAAUGAUGAUUAAAUCAUAAGCGCAAUGUAGCUUUGUAAUAUAAAUCUUUGCAAAGUAGAGUAUUAAAUUACAGUUGUAUAGUUUAAUUAUUUUCUCUCUUGUCUGCUAACCUCUAGCUUCGUGGGACCAAAUUCUUAGGGAAUGCUAUCUUCUCAUUUAAUAUUCAAACUUUAAUUGAAUACAAUCACAACAAGAACCAUGUUACAGGGAC
rnacentral:lncRNA from 1 species